CGCUCUUUGCAAAAUAAUUUGAGUAUAAAGAGUUCUGCCUGCCCAGUGACGUUGUUAAACGGCCGCGGUAUCUUGACCGUGCAAAGGUAGCAUAAUCAUUUGCCUUUUAAAUGGGGGCCGGUAUGAAUGGCAAGACGGAGGUUAAGCUGUCUUUUUCUUUUGUCUUGAAAUUAAUGUUUUUGUGAAGAAGCAGAAAUUUAUUCGUAGGACGAGAAGACCCUGUCGAGCUUUAAUUUAAAUAUUAGCAAUAAUUUAGCUUUAAAAAUCUAAUUUAAUUAAAUUUUGGUUUAGCUAAAAAUUAGUUUUGUGUAAGAAAAAUUGUGUAAUAUUACUGUUUUGGUUGGGGCAAUCAUGGAGAAAAUAAAUCCUCCAUUAUAUUAAAAAAAAGAUACAACUUUGUUAAAAAAAAGUGAUCCGACUAAGUGGUCGAGCAAAGGAACAAGUUACCGCAGGGAUAACAGCGUAAUUUUUUUGGAGAGUUCAUAUUGAUAAGAAAGUUUGCGACCUCGAUGUUGGAUCGGGAUUUCCUGGGGAUGCAGCAGUUUCUAAGGGUUGGUCUGUUCGACCAUUAAAAUCCU
rnacentral:rRNA from 1 species